AGAGCGGUAGCCUGGAGAUGGGCACUGAGACAAGGGCCCAGGCCCUACGGGGCGCAGCAGUCGCGAAAACUCUGCAAUACGCGAAAGCGUGACAGGGUUACCCCGAGUGCCGUCCGCUGAGGACAGCUUUUCUCCGGUGUAAUGAGCCGGAGGAAUAAGGGGAGGGCAAGACUGGUGUCAGCCGCCGCGGUAAUACCAGCUCCUCGAGUGGUGGGGAUGAUUAUUGGGCCUGAAGCGUCCGUAGCCGGCCCGGUAAGUCUUCCGUUAAAUCCAACGAUCUAAUCGUUGGGCCGCGGGAGAUACUGUCGGGCUAGGGGGCGGAAGAAGCCGACGGUACUCCUGGGGUAGGGGUGAUAUCCUAUAAUCCCGGGAGGACCACCAGUGGCGAAGGCGGUCGGCU
rnacentral:rRNA from 1 species